UUCGGGUUGUAAACCUCUUUCACUUCUGACGAAGCCCUCUUUGGGGGGUGACGGUAGGUUGAGAAGAAGCACCGGCCAACUACGUGCCAGCAGCCGCGGUAAUACGUAGGGUGCGAGCGUUGUCCGGAAUUAUUGGGCGUAAAGGGCUCGUAGGCGGUUUGUCGCGUCGGGAGUGUAAUCCUCGUGCUUAACACGGGGCUUGCUUUCGAUACGGGCAGACUGGAGGCAUGCAGGGGAGAACGGAAUUCCUGGUGUAGCGGUGAAAUGCGCAGAUAUCAGGAGGAACACCGGUGGCGAAGGCGGUUCUCUGGGCAUGUCCUGACGCUGAGGAGCGAAAGUGUGGGGAGCGAACAGGAUUAGAUACCCUGGUAGUCCACACCGUAAACGUUGGGCGCUAGGUGUGGGAUCCAUUCCACGGGUUCCGUGCCGUAGCUAACGCAUUAAGCGCCCCGCCUGGGGAGUACGGCCGCAAGGCUAAAACUCAAAGGAAUUGACGGGGGCCUGCACAAGCGGCGGAGCAUGCGGAUUAAUUCGAUGCAACGCGAAGAACCUUACCUGGGUUUGACAUACAUCCUGCCGCCUCAGAGAUGGGGCUUCUUUUGGGGGUGUACAGGUGGUGCAUGGCCGUCGUCAGCUCGUGUCGUGAGAUGUUGGGUUAAGUCCCGCAACGAGCGCAACCCUUGUCGCAUGUUGCCAGCAUGCCGCCCCUUUGGGGGUGGUGGUGGGGACUCAUGCGAGACUGCCGGGGUCAACUCGGAGGAAGGUGGGGAUGACGUCAAGUCAUCAUGCCCCUUAUGUCCAGGGCUUCACGCAUGCUACAAUGGCCGGUACAGAGGGCUGCGAUCCCGUGAGGGGGAGCGAAUCCCAAAAAGCCGGUCUCAGUUCGGAUUGGGGCCUGCAACUCGACCCCAUGAAGUCGGAGUCGCUAGUAAUCGCAGAUCAGCAACGCUGCGGUGAAUACGUUCCCGGGCCUUGUACACACCGCCCGUCACGUCACGAAAGUCGGCAACACCCGAAGCCCAUGGCCUAACCCGCAUCCGUGUGGGGGAGUGGUCGAAGGUGGGGUUGGCGAUUGGGACGAAGUCGUAACAAGGUAACCGUA
rnacentral:rRNA from 1 species